GAUGAACGCUGGCGGCGUGCUUAACACAUGCAAGUCGAACGGACUGCGAGGAGCUUGCUCCUCAAAGUUAGUGGCGGACGGGUGAGUAACGCGUGGGUAACCUGCCCUAUGCAGGGGGAUAACGUUUGGAAACGAACGCUAAUACCGCAUAAUCUAGUUGGUUCGCAUGAACUAACUAGCAAAGAUUUAUCGGCAUAGGAUGGACCCGCGUUGGAUUAGCUAGUUGGUGAGAUAACAGCCCACCAAGGCAACGAUCCAUAGCCGGCCUGAGAGGGUGAACGGCCACACUGGGACUGAGACACGGCCCAGACUCCUACGGGAGGCAGCAGUGGGGAAUAUUGCACAAUGGGCGCAAGCCUGAUGCAGCGACGCCGCGUGAAGGAUGAAGGUCUUCGGAUCGUAAACUUCUAUCAGCAGGGAAGAAUACCAUGACGGUACCUGACUAAGAAGCCCCGGCUAACUACGUGCCAGCAGCCGCCGUAA
rnacentral:rRNA from 1 species